CUACGGGUUGCAGCAGUGAGGAAUAUUGCACAAUGGGGGGAACCCUGGUGCAGCAACGCCGCGUGGAGGAUGACGCAUUUCGGUGUGUAAACUCCUUUUAUAUGUCAAGAAAAUGACGGUAGCAUAUGAAUAAGCACCGGCUAACUCCGUGCCAGCAGCCGCGGUAAUACGGAGGGUGCAAGCGUUACUCGGAAUCACUGGGCGUAAAGGACGCGUAGGCGGGUUGGAAAGUCAGGUGUGAAAUCCUACAGCUUAACUGUAGAACUGCACUUGAAACUUCUAAUCUAGAGUAUGGGAGGGGGAGAUGGAAUUAGUGGUGUAGGGGUAAUAUCCGUAGAUAUCACUAGGAAUACCUAAAGCGAAGGCGAUCUCCUGGAACAUUACUGACGCUAAGGCGUGAAAGCGUGGGGAGCAAACAGGAUUAGAUACCCGAGUAGUC
rnacentral:rRNA from 1 species